GGAGACCAGGAAGAUAAGGAAUUUGGACUUGGUCUUCUUGGCUUUAAGACGUGUGAGAGAAUAUGGGCCCUUCUGAGCACACCCGGUGAUCUCAAAGGACCUAAACUGGGACUGAGGCAUCUCCAAGACUCACAAGAUCCCUCUGACUCCAGACAAAACGCACACCAGAGAGGCGAGCCAACGGGGAAAAUCCAGGGUGUGAGACAGAAAGGGCCUGUGCGGCUUGAGGACCCAGUGUUCUGUGAGAUUUAAUAUUCCCUUCGCAGGAGACACAGGACUGUCCAAUAAUAAACAGCAGAGUCGAUGGUGUUGAUCUUUAAAGUAAAUCCCAUUGCUAUUAGCUUAUCUGCCCAGCGAUUAAAACUAAUAAAAUAAUAAACUUUGUGACACAG
rnacentral:lncRNA from 1 species